GCCCAGCCAGUAGCGCAGCCGCUCCAGGUUGAGCCCCGCCACCUUCUCGCCGUGGACGUUGGGCAGUGGGUCGAGGCAGCCGAGCUGCUCCAGGGAUGUUAUUCUUGACACCCCAGGGCAAAUGGAGGUAUUCACCUGGUCAGCGUCAGGAGCCAUCAUAACUGAGGCCUCGGCUUCCUCUUUUCCUUCGGUUGCUGUGUAUGUGCCGGACACCUCUCGCAGGACUAACCCUAUGGCUUUUAUGUCCAACGUGCUGUAUGCCUGCAGUAUCCUGUACAAGACACAGCUACCUUUCCUUGUGGGAAUGGAUUGGCCGGGCUUUGGCAAUCUGGCCCCUAGAAAGGCUAAGUGACCUCUUCCAAUGGGGAAAGACUGAAGCAAGCGGUGCCAGAAAGAACUGGAGUUUCUGGAGAAUAAAAGCUGGAAGUACACCCCUGAAAAUCCCCUCGGGUGGUCAGUGGUCUGACUUGCACGGGCCGGUGGCCUUGGGCAGGAGCGGUCCUGCCGGAAGGGCCUUUGCCCAGGCUGGAAUUUUAAUUUCCAUGGGAUGCUGGCCAAGCCCCUCUGGGUGAGCCCCGGUGCCUGGCAUGAGCGGAGCGGGCUUCCAGGGCACUCAUUGCAGGCGUUGUGUUUAAGGGAAGAGCAGGGGAGCCUUUCUCUGGCCCAAAGGAGCUGCAGUGUUCUUCCUCUCUGGAAGACUAAGAACUAAAAAAAAAAUAAAAACCAAA